rnacentral:piRNA from 1 species
UGUUGUUAUUGUAUGACAGGAGUGUUCUGC